UGUGACCUGCGCAUUUGAUUUGCUUCUCAUUUUUCUUUAAGUGUAUCGGGAGAGAGUAAAAGCACUCUUCGUUAUUUUUGGAGCGUGCGCCCUUUCGCCUCUUCAAUGACAGUCAGUUACAACACCAACGCCAAGAAUAAGAGCAUGAACAGUUAGUGUCAAAACCAGCAACAACAAUAGCCCAAGGACAACAUGCUCGCGGCUUUAUUUGCACUAAUGUCAGUCGGAGCUAAAACAAAACUGUCCAAAAAAUGAAAUCAGUUCAAAUGUUUGCGUUGUCAGUUGGCAGCUAAAUGCGCAAAAAACGAACACAAAAAUUCUAUUUCGGUUCUUCCACCCACCCACACUUGUACAGUUAAAAAGAAUGGCCUACGUAUGCGUGCAAUGUGCAACAUUUCCAUCAAAAUGGAAUGUUAAAACAAUACGCAAGUCUCUGGAUGACCUCAGAUUGUAAUUAAUUAAAAGCGCAAAAGAAGAAGCGGCUGAACAGUGGGGUACAUUCCCCCCGCACGCACUCAAAAAAUGACAACAAAAACUGGUCCAGGAAGCGGCUCCCAGUUGUCACCACCCCAUAGUAUCCCCCUCCCCCCUCUCCAUACAAUCGGUUGAAUAAAUUAAGUUGCCUGAGAGAUGUUACAUUUAAAUGUCUACAAAAUGUGUGAGAGGCAUUUGUGCGGUUUCAUUCAAUGAACUGCAACGGUUCGAUAUUCUGAUUAUAUUGCCACCGGCCGAUCCGGUUACGACCGGAUUAUAUUCCCACUCCGAUCCAUCUGUCAAUUUGAUUAUUUUAACAAUACAAUUAUUUUAACAAUAUUUGGCGAGAAUAUGCAUUUAAAUAACGUAAUCCACAGUCGUUGUAAGGCUUUCAAUAAUUUUGAAAAAAUAUUAUGGAACAUUUACUUAAAUUAAUACAUUUAAUCGUUUGCUUAAGACUUUUUAGGAUUUUGUUUUGGUUUACUUUAAUCUUUAAACACAUAAUAUCAUUUUGCUUGUAAGACAUUAUUGGUAGGGGGUUUAUUUAAGCGUAUUUCUACUUUAAUAGAGAUUAUACUCCCAAGAGUUUAUCAAUUUUUGUUUUGUCACAGACAUUAUCUGUGUUUAUAUAAGCAUUAGUUAUUAUUCAUAAAUAUUUACCUCUUAGCUUAUUUCACCACGUAAAUUGGAAAACAAAUAAUAUUUUAAAACGUGUACUAAUUUUUUUAAGCUUUUGUCUCGACUCUUAUGGAGUAAUAAUAUUUACCUGUUAAAUAUUUAAUUGACUUUAAAAAAAUUUAAAGGGUAAUGAUUUUACACAAUAAAUUUAAUGGCAAAAAUAGGUUUCGUCCUAACUUUUGGCAACUGUCACCUCUUGACUUUUAAAAGUA